UUUGAUAAGUUACCUUUAUGUGCAUUUAUAAAAUUUGAAGCCGAAACAAUUUCAACAUAAAAUGUAAAAUAGAAAAACAACCUUUUUAAUAUAGUCUUGUUUCACAUUUUCUCCCACCUGAACAAAUGCAUCCAAUGCAAACACAUUUAUUGGUUCAUAAAAAAUGAAGUAAAAUAGACAUAUACAUGCUAAUUUGGAUAGAAUAAUUAACUACUUAAUAACAAUUUAAAUACUAAAAUCUAAAUUGAAUAAUUAUUCUAAAUUGUGAAUAAAGAAGAAGAAAUAUAUGUGCAAUUGCCUAAAAAAAGAAAAAGAGAAUCAACAUCAAUCCAAACUCGCUAGGUAUGCACCACAUUGACUUGGAAAAGAUAUUCCCAUCCUAAUUUGGUCUAUUCGUAUUGUUCCUAUAUGCAACAAAUAUUAUAUGCAUAUAACUCUUCACUUCAAACCAUAAACACUCAUUGGCAGAAACGAAAGAACUAUUAGAAAAUAAAUUAUAAGAUUUGAAAGAGCACCUUGAAAAGCAAGAAAGUUAUCAUGUUAAGAGGUUGAAUAAAGAUAAGGCAAUAAGAAAAUUAUGGUGUGAAUAGGUUUUUAAAAAGAUGGAGUUAACUGUUAAUAGUAGUUUUUUUCCCUCAAGAAACGUGGGUUAAGUAUUUUUAGGGAUAAGAUUAGUUAUCCAUCUUUUAAAAUUUGAAUUUAAAUCAAUUAUAUAUGCAUUUAAAAAUAUAUACAUUUUCAUAUAAAAAGGAGAAGGAAGAAGGAGUUGUAUUUUAUGUAUAUUUCUUAGUUAGUUCUUUAACAUGGGAUAGGGACAUGCAUAAAUUAGUUUACUUUUUAAAAAUCUUAUAUUUCUGUGUUC
rnacentral:lncRNA from 1 species